rnacentral:rRNA from 1 species
UCGGGAAUUUUGGGCAAUGGGCGAAAGCCUGACCCAGCAACGCCGCGUGAAGGAUGAAGUAUUUCGGUAUGUAAACUUCGAAAGAAUGGGAAGAAUAAAUGACGGUACCAUUUAUAAGCUCCGGCUAACUACGUGCCAGCAGCCGCGGUAAUACGUAGGGAGCAAGCGUCGUUCGGAUUUACUGGGCGUAAAGGGCGCGUAGGCGGCCUGUCAAGUCAACUGUGAAAUCUCCGGGCUUAACUCGGAACGGUCAGUUGAUACUGUCAGGCUAGAGUGCAGAAGGGGCAAUCGGAAUUCUUGGUGUAGCGGUGAAAUGCGUAGAUAUCAAGAGGAACACCUGAGGUGAAGACGGGUUGCUGGGCUGACACUGACGCUGAGGCGCGAAAGCCAGGGGAGCAAA